rnacentral:rRNA from 1 species
UGGCUCAGGAUGAACGCUGGCGGCGUGCUUAACACAUGCAAGUCGAACGAAGCCAAAAGGAAGCUUGCUUUCUUUGAAGCUUAGUGGCGGACGGGUGAGUAACGCGUGAGUAACCUGCCCUUCAGUGGGGAAUAACACAGAGAAAUCUGUGCUAAUACCGCAUAACGUCUUCUUGCCGCAUGACAGGAAGACCAAAGGAUUUAUUCGCUGAAGGAUGGACUCGCGUCCGAUUAGCUAGUUGGUGAGGUAACGGCCUACCAAGGCGACGAUNGGUAGCCGAACUGAGAGGUUGAUCGGCCACAUUGGGACUGAGACACGGCCCAGACUCCUACGGGAGGCAGCAGUGGGGAAUA